rnacentral:rRNA from 1 species
CAACUCUCAACAACGGAUAUCUUGGCUCCCGUAACGAUGAAGAACGCAGCGAAAUGCGAUACUUAGUGUGAAUUGCAGAAUUCCGUGAAUCAUCGAGUUUUUGAACGCAUAUUGCGCUUGAGGCUUCGGCCGAAAGCAUGCCUGCCUCAGCGUCGGUUG